rnacentral:tRNA from 2 species
GCAGGGAUGGCAGAGCCUGGUCAAAUGCGCAGGGCUUAGGACCCUGUGACUUUAGUGUCUGCGCAGGUUCGAACGCUUUGUUCUGGCG